ensembl:snRNA U4 U4 spliceosomal RNA
AGCUUUGCUCAGUGGCAGUAUCGUAGCCAAUGAGGUUUAUCGGAGGCGCGAUUAUUGCUAAUCGAAAGAAUACCGAGUGUGGGCAGUGCUGUGCGUGUGUGCAAACCGCGUGGGGCAGGGUGGGCACUGUCUUUUGCUGCCAAUUAGUUUUAAUCUUGAAUACAGUAAAAGA